rnacentral:rRNA from 1 species
GACGAACGCUGGCGGCGUGCCUAAUACAUGCAAGUCGAACGCAGUGGGGACGGGUGAGUAACACGUGGGUAACCUCCCAUCAGAGGGGAUAACACUUGGAAACAGGUGCUAAACCGAUACUCAGGGAUGGAUCCGCUGGGCAUUAGGUAGUUGGUGAGGUAACGGCUCACCAAGGCCACGAUGCAUAGCCGACCUGAGAGGGUGAUCGGCCACACUGGAACUGAGACACGGCCCAGACUCCUACGGGAGGCAGCAGUAGGGAAUCUUCGGCAAUGGACGAAAGUCUGACCGAGCAACGCCGCGUGAGUGAAGAAGGUUUUCGGAUCGUAAAACUCUGUUGUUAGAGAAGCGGUAUCUAACCAGAAAGCCACGGCUAACUACGUGCCAGCAGCCGCGGUAAUUC